rnacentral:rRNA from 1 species
GGGCCCGCACAAGCGGUGGAGCAUGUGGCUUAAUUCGAGGCAACGCGAAGAACCUUACCUGGUCUUGACAUGCCCGUCAUAGUUUUCCGAAAGGAAUUCGUCAGUUCGGCUGGACGGUGCACAGGUGCUGCAUGGCUGUCGUCAGCUCGUGUCGUGAGAUGUUCGUUAAGUCCGGCAACGAGCGCAACCCUCGUUUCCAGUUGCCAGCGGGUAAUGCCGGGGACUCUGGAAAGACAAACCUCUUGUUGAGGUGGGAAGGUGGGGACGACGUCAAGUCAGUAUGGCCCUUACGACCAGGGCUGCACACGUGCUACAAUGCCCGGCACAAUGGGAUGCAAUAUCGCGAGAUUGAG